AGCGAACGCUGGCGGCAGGCUUAACACAUGCAAGUCGAGCGGGCGUAGCAAUAUGUCCGCGGCAGACGGGUGAGUAACGCGUGGGAACGUACCUUUUGGUUCGGAACAACACAGGGAAACUUGUGCUAAUACCGGAUAAGCCCUUACGGGGAAAGAUUUAUCGCCGAAAGGGCGGUCCGAGUCUGAUCCACUGGUUGGUGCGGUAGUGGCUCACCAAGGCGACGAUCAGUAGCUGGUCUGAGAGGAUGAUCAGCCACACUGGGACGGGGACAAGGGCCAAACUCCUGCGGGAGGGAGCAGGGGGGAAUAUGGGACGAUGGGCGCAAGCCUGAUCCAGCCAGGCCGCGAGAGUGAUUUAGGCCGUAGGGAAGUAAAGCUCUUUUGAGCGGGAAUAUAAGAACGGAACCGCAAGAAUAGGCCCCGCCAAAUAUCUG
rnacentral:rRNA from 1 species